GACGUAGGUGGCAAGCGUUGUCCGGAUUUACUGGGCGUAAGGAUGCGUAGGCGGACAUCUAAGUCAGAUGUGAAAUACCCGAGCUUAACUUGGGUGCUGCAUUUGAAACUGGGUGUCUAGAGUGCAGGAGAGGUAAGUGGAAUUCCUAGUGUAGCGGUGAAAUGCGUAGAGAUUAGGAAGAACACCAGUGGCGAAGGCGACUUACUGGACUGUAACUGACGCUGAGGUGCGAAAGCGUGGGGAGCAAACAGG
rnacentral:rRNA from 1 species